GAUGAACGCUGGCGGCGUGCCUAAUACAUGCAAGUCGACCGAACAGACGAGGAGCUUGCUCCUCUGACGUUAGAGGCGGACGGGUGAGUAAUACGAGGAAAACCUAACUAUAAGAAUGGGAUACUUUUGGGAAAUAGGAGCUAAUAACGGAAAAUUUAUUGAAUCGAAUCGUUAAACACUGUAAGAGGGUUUUGCUUUCCAUUAUAGAUGGAUCCGCGUCGCAUUGGCAAGUUGGUAAGGUAACUGGUUAGCAAGGCGACGAUGCGGAGCCGACCGGAGAGGAUGGGCGGCCGCCCUGGGACGGAGACAGGGUACAGGGUCCUAGGGGAAGCAGCAUUAGGGAAUCGUCCGCAAUGGGCGAAAACCUGACGGAGCAACGCCACGUGAGUGAUGAAGGUAUUCUGAGCGUAAAACUCUGUUAUUAGGGAAGAACAAAUGUUUAAGUAACUAUGCACAUCUUGACGGUACCUACACAGAAAGCCACGGCUAACUACGUG
rnacentral:rRNA from 1 species